rnacentral:rRNA from 1 species
AAUGGGGGAAACCCUGACGCAGCGACGCCGCGUGAGCGAAGAAGGCCUUAGGGUUGUAAAGCUCUGUUUUAGGGGACGAAUGUCACGAUCAGUAAUAUGGGUUGUGAAUGACGGUACCCUAAGAGGAAGCCCCGGCUAACUACGUGCCAGCAGCCGCGGUAAGACGUAGGGGGCGAGCGUUGUCCGGAAUUACUGGGCGUAAAGAGCACGUAGGCGGAGACUUAAGUCAGGUGUGAAAGACCGGGGCUCAACCCCGGGGUUGCACUUGAAACUGGGUCCCUUGAGGGCAGGAGAGGAAAGCAGAAUUCCUGGUGUAGCGGUGAAAUGCGUAGAAAUCAGGAGGAAUACCAGUGGCGAAGGCGGCUUUCUGGACUGACCCUGACGCUGAGGUGCGAAAGCGUGGGUAGCAAA